AUAUUUAAAUAAUUUUACGACAUCUGUUAAUAAUAUUAAUGUUACUUAAUGUCUCCCCUUUAUAUCUGUCUAUGAUAUAGUGCCUUUUACUAUCUAUCAGUCUCAUUGUGUCGUUCUUAUCAAUUGAUCUAUUAUAAGUGGGCAGUGCCGCUAACUGUCUUGUCUUCUUCUUCUUCCAUAGUGCAGAGAAACAGCCCAAUGAGGACAAAUGACUCCGCCUCUUCUGUUCCC